AACACUGUUAACCUGCGGUACCUGCGGAAGGAUCAUUAUAGUAUAUGGAAUCUCCAUUCUAUAAACCCACUCUGCGUAUCUUGUAACUGUUGCUUCCAUGGGACUUGGUUCCGCCACACCGGCUUCACGGCUGGUGAGCGCCCAUGGAAGGAGAAACAAAACUCUUCUUUGAAAUGUAGUCAGUCUGAACAAGUUUUUAUAAACGUUAAAACUUUUAGCAAUGGAUCUCAGAUCGGAAGA
rnacentral:misc_RNA from 1 species